rnacentral:snRNA from 1 species
AUGUAGCAUGGCACACAUGCAUGGAAAUUGGAACAGUGCAGAGAAGAUUAGCAUGGCUUCCUGUGCAAGUAUAACACACAAAUUUGUUGAUGUGUUCCAUACUUUU